CUCCCUUGAGGCAGCCCUCUCCCUCCCGUCUCUCCCGUUCUUCCUCGUUUGAAGUUUCGGAGGCGCUUGGCGAAGCCCUACUGGCACUGCUCCACCACCAUCUCCACCAUGCUUUCAUGUUGGUCGAUAUGUCAUCUACUUCUCCUCCCUCGCUUGCUUGAUCAAGGAGGCGGAGACGUUAUCGAGCCGCACUUGUGCUGAACGUGGAGGUGUCGUCCGAUGGUAGAUUGGGACAAAUCGUGAUUAGAUCGUGAAGACGUACGACUACAUCAACCUCAUUAUAUACGCUUCCGCUUAGCGAUCUACAAGA
rnacentral:lncRNA from 1 species